rnacentral:lncRNA from 1 species
UCAGAUUUGGCCCCAUUCAUCCUUUGAGUAAAGCCAAAGAGAUCAUAGGUCAUUGGCUGGAUCACAAGUUGGCUAAUACGGCAUCAAAUCUAACAGAGUGAGGCAGAUGGGAGUAGGAGGGUCACAGAGGACCAAUGCCAUCUGUGCACCAGCAUGGGAGAGAGUGGGAGGAGCAGGGUGGGUGACAGUGACAUCCCUCAGCACACUGGAUCAGCUCAGGAGACCAUGACUAUGAAGGACACUGAUCACUGCCUGUGUAAUCCACGGCAUUGCUUUUCUCACCUGACAAACGAAGGGGUAAAUGGGCUGCUGGGACUGCCAAGCUUGCCAAGCUUGUGCCAUCUGCUUUAAAGCUUUCAUUGAGAGCUUUUCCCCUUUGUUGCGCCAUGCGUGACCAGUGGCUUGCUGUUCAAGGAUAAGGACAGAGAGGCUCUACUGCAGUGCUCAGCUAGCACCUGUCUCCAGUUACCCCGCAUUAACUGGCCCAGACCCACACCUCUCCUACAGCUCUCACACAAGGCCUUCAUGGCCAGAGGUAGAUCACACGACUACCUUGCAUGAAAAACUGGGGAAGUGGGUAUGGCUAGUUGAAAGAAGUGGUCCAAAGUUCUGCCAGCCAAACCCAGCCUGCCACCUGACUCAGUACCACCCACAAACUGAAAGUGGGGGAAAGUCAAAAGAAUACUAUUUUAUGGCAUUAUGUGAACCUGACCAUGCAAUAUCUUCAGUUUUGCCUCUUGAUUCACAAAACCUACAUUUAUUACCUUAACCUUUAUAGGAAAUCCUACUAACCUCCAUCUUAGGAUACCAUAGGGGAAUCACUGACUGCUUCCUGGACUACUACCUGGACCAGAACAGGGUUCUGCCUAGCAAGAAACCUCAGAAAAAAUCAGCCCUAGUUGUCUACAACACUUGUAUUCCGUUAUUUAACCUUUUUACUGGUGUAUAUUCAUUGUGCAUAGUGAUGAGUUAUUUAAUCUUCACACAGCAUAAACUAAGAGUUAACCCCUCUUUCCAGUCCCAGGGACUGGAAUGUAUCUGCCUCAAGGAUAUUUUCUCAGCUUGGCCAAAUUGUAGGAUUUAGAAAGAGACCAGAGAAAACUGGAAACUAACCAGCCACCUAUGCCAAGGUGGCAGAUCUCACUGUUACAACUACAGGAAUAGGGUCCGGAAGCUGGUCCCAUCAGGGCACUCACAGGGAAGUGAAGUCUGUAAGCUUCGACUCUCACAAGUCCUAAUGACUGUAAAUCAUUGAAGGGAAGCCUAAAUGUGUCGGGAAAGCAACACAGUAAGCUUGUGGGCAGAGGCUGAGGUUGUGGGCCUGGGCCAGUGAUCUACAGCCUAGCGGAUCCUGCUUCUGUUCCUGUGCUUCAUUCCUCUCCAUCCUCCUGGAUGCUCUCCUCUCUGUCGUCCAUAGCGCAUCCUUCUCCAUCCCACCCCAACCCGGUGGUGCUGAGUCCUUCAUACCACUGACUUACAUUUCCUUCCCAACUCUUUCCUCUUGUUCUGUGCCUGUAUGUUCACUAUGUGUGUCUCUAAUGUCAUCUGUUGUAAGUCUAUUUCAGAGUGGAACACCAAAAGACAAUCUUAAGAGUUUUAUUUCUAAGUUUGUAGUCACCCUGGUAGGCCAGCUUGUGUUUGUUGUGAACUCCACCAGCACAGGAGGGAUCGAAAUGCCUUCUGACUCUCUUUGACCAGCCAAUGUUCUCUAACCAGCAGCAAACAACCUAGGUGAGGUCACUGGAUAAUGCACACCCUUGAUAUUUACUGAGCACCUGCCAUAUGCCAGAUAGGUGAGAAUAAAACAAUUUAUAAGAAG